rnacentral:rRNA from 1 species
GCUAAAAAUCUAGCCCUAUGCAAUCUUAUGCCCCUCUCACCCUUACCCCUUAUACUAAAACAUUCAUUCAUCUUAGUAAAGGCGAUUAAAAAAUUACUUAGAGCUACAACCAUAGUACCGAAAGGAAAAGAUGAAAUAAAAAUGAAAUAAAUUUUAAGCACGGAAAAGUAGAGAUAUACACUCGUACCUUUUGCAUCAUGGUUUAACCAGUCCGACUAAGCAAAAAGAAUUUUAGUUUAACCCCCCGAAACUAGACGAGCUACUUCGAGGCAGCUAAACGAGCAAACCCGUCUCUGUUGCAAAAGAGUGGGAUGACCUCCAAGUAGCGGUGACAGACCUAACGAGUCUAGUGAUAGCUGGUUACUUAAGAAAAGGAUUUUAGUCCUGCCUAAAGCACCUUAAAUUAUACUAAAUAAUCUCUGCUUUAGAGUCACUCAAAUAAGGUACAGCCUGUUUGAAGCUAGGAUACAACCUCAACUAAAGGGUAACCCCCCCCCCCCCCCACCAAAAAACAAGUGGGCCUAAAAGCAGCCACCUUUAAAAUAGCGUCAAAGCUUACUUUUACAUUAAUUAAAAUACCGCAACAACCACAAAACCCUUUACCCCUAUUAAGUCCAUCUAUAAAACUAUAGAAGUGAUUAUGUUAAAACUAGUAAUAAGAAGAAGACCUUCUCUUAAGUACAUCUAUAAGUCAGAAAGGACAAACCACUGACAAUUAAACGCAAAUGAACAUAAAACAGUAACUCUUCAAGAAAACCCUGUUCUACUUAACGUUAACCUAACACUAGAGUACUCCAAGAAAGAUUAAAAGAAAAAGAAGGAACUCGGCAAACAUAUUAACCUCGCCUGUUUACCAAAAACAUCGCCUCUUGGUCCCCUUAUAAGAGGUCCCGCCUGCCCAGUGACUCAGUUCAACGGCCGCGGUAUCCUAACCGUGCGAAGGUAGCGUAAUCACUUGUUCUUUAAAUGAGGACUAGUAUGAAUGGCACCACGAAGGUUACGCUGUCUCCUUUUUCUAAUCAAUGAAAUUAACCUCCCCGUGAAGAGGCGGGGAUUUAUAUAUAAGACGAGAAGACCCUAUGGAGCUUUAAACAACAUAGCAUUAGCCUUACAUCUACAUAUUUCAGAAAAAUAAACAUUACCCCGGCUAUAUGACUAUUAGUUUUAGGUUGGGGUGACCGCGGAGUAUAAACCAACCUCCACAUUGAAUGGAAUCUUCCUGAGCAAAAAGCUACGGCUUUAAGCACCAACAAAUUGACAUUAAUUGACCCAAUAUUUUUGAUCAACGAACCAAGUUACCCUAGGGAUAACAGCGCAAUCCACUUCAAGAGCUCAUAUCGACAAGUGGGUUUACGACCUCGAUGUUGGAUCAGGGUGUCCCAGUGGUGCAGCCGCUACUAAAGGUUCGUUUGUUCAACGAUUAAAACCCU